rnacentral:tRNA from 1 species
GCGGGCGUAGCUCAGGGGUAGAGCAUCACCUUGCCAAGGUGAGGGCCGAGGGUUCGAAUCCCUUCGCCCGCU